AUGGGGGGGCUGCAUCAACAGAGCACAGGGAUGAUCCUCCGCUGUCUGUUUACAUCGCUGCAGUGCAUUCUGGGAGGUCACCCCGCAACCUGGGGCAGGCAUGCUGUUUCACUGGAUAGAGGAGGAAAAAAAAGCAUGCAGAGGAGCAGCGGGUCAGAAAGACCAGACUCAUUUCACACAGAGAGAAGAAGUCAGACAGUGCCAUCUUAAGGAGUAAAGGUGAAGUGAGG
rnacentral:lncRNA from 1 species